CCAUGAAGCUGGAUUCGCUAGUAAUCGCGCAUCAGCCACGGCGCGGUGAAUACGUUCCCGGGCCUUGUACACACCGCCCGUCAAGCCAUGGAAGCCGGGGGGUGCCUGAAGUGCGCUGCCGCAAGGAGCGCCCUAGGGUAAAACCGGUGACUGGGGCUAAGUCGUAACAAGGUAAC
rnacentral:rRNA from 1 species